CGGAAAAGAUGGCGGUGGCGGGGGGACCGGCCGGGGGCAGCGAGUGAGGGACGGGGCGGGCAGGGUUGGAGGGAGACGCGGUUCCGGCGUCGACGCGGCUGAGGGGAGGCAGGUGCUGGGCAGCGGGGAGGGGGAGGACGAGGAAGCCGGGGGUGACUCGUAGCGGGGAUGAGGAGCCGGGGAGCCGGGGCAGGGAGGCGGUGAGGAGGGAGCGCGACUGCCCCGUAUGCGCGGGCGCCCCUCGCCCCUCACGGCUCCCUCACUGCCCUGGGGACGGGGCGCAGCUCGGCGGCCCGGCGGAGGAGGCGGAAGAGCCGCGGCAGCGCUGGCGGGGGCAGAGGAAGGCGCACAGCGGUGGCACAAAUGUGAUUCGGCGUCACUUAGUGGUUUGGUUCGUCAAAGCGUGCUGGAAAGCAUUCGGCUGCUCGGUAGCUGAAAUGCCACUGGAGUGUGAAGGCUGCGUCUUAGGAAGAGCUGAGCCGCUGUCCUCUCUGUGAGAAGAUAUUUAAGGGCCUUGACUGGAAAACCCUCAGUUAAAAAACUGUUAGACAACUUAUUAAUCUCGAAACUCUCUGUUAGCAGGGCUUGUUUUCUGUUAUGUGCCCUCUCUGACCUCCUGCGACGAGGGGCGGAUGUUUACAGGUGUCUGUGACGGCAGCCUCGGUUCCUGUAGUAAUUUUAGUCUUCGUUGCCAUUCACAGCUUCAGAAGUGGUUGGAUGUAAAGCAAAAUAGUUCAGAUUUCUGUAAAUGUCAGCUUCAUUGAGUUAACUGCAGAGAAAUGAAGAUGCAGGUGUACUAAAGUAUCUGACUCUUGUUUGUUUACUAUUGCCUUGCAUGUGUCCUUCCCCCUCCCUCCGUGCCUCUCCACCCACCCCCAACCCUCCACCCCCCCACCCCCCGCCAACUAUAAACAAUAUGAUGGUUGUGACCUGAAGACAAGCCUUUUGGUAAAACUGUCACAGAAACUUUUAACUUUCUGAAAAAAAAAUAAAAUAAGUUUCUGCAGAAUGUGUUUUCA
rnacentral:lncRNA from 1 species